rnacentral:rRNA from 1 species
GACGAACGCUGGCGGCGUGCUUAACACAUGCAAGUCGAACGGAAAGGCCCCUUUGGGGGUACUCGAGUGGCGAACGGGUGAGUAACACGUGAGUAACCUGCCCUUGACUUCGGGAUAACUUCAGGAAACUGGGGCUAAUACCGGAUAGGAAUCCUUGCUGCAUGGUGGGGGUUGGAAAGCUUUGGCGGUUUUGGAUGGACUCGCGGCUUAUCAGCUUGUUGGUGGGGUAGUGGCUUACCAAGGCUUUGACGGGUAGCCGGCCUGGGAGGGCGACCGGCCACAUUGGGACUGAGAUACGGCCCAGACUCCUACGGGAGGCAGCAGUGGGGAAUAUUGCACAAUGGGCGGGAGCCUGAUGCAGCAACGCCGCGUGCGGGAUGACGGCCUUCGGGUUGUAAACCGCUUUCAGCAGGGGCGAAGCUUGUGGUGACGGUACCUGCAGAAGAAGCACCGGCUAACUACGUG